GCCGGGGUGGCGGAACGGCAACGCGCCCGCCUGCAGAGCGGGAGAUUCCGGGUUCAAAUCCCGGCCCCGGCU
rnacentral:tRNA from 1 species